AACGGUAACGCGGACUUCGGUCUGGCGACGAGUGGCGAACGGGUGAGUAAUGCAUCGGAACGUAUCCAUUUGUGGGGGAUAGCCCGGCGAAAGCCGGAUUAAUACCGCAUAAUCUCCGAGGAGGAAAGUGGGGGACCUUCGGGCCUUACGCUGAUGGAGCGGCUGAUGUCGGAUUAGCUUGUUGGUAGGGUAAAGGCCUACCAAGGCGACGAUCCGUAGCUGGUCUGAGAGGACGACCAGCCACACUGGAACUGAGACACGGUCCAGACUCCUACGGGAGGCAGCAGUGGGGAAUUUUGGACAAUGGGGGCAACCCUGAUCCAGCCAUGCCGCGUGCGGGAAGAAGGCCUUCGGGUUGUAAACCGCUUUCAGACGGAAAGAAACAGUACAAGCUAAUACCUUGUACGAAUGACGGUACCGUCAGAAGAAGCACCGGCUAACUACGUGCCAGCAGCCGCGGUAAUACGUAGGGUGCGAGCGUUAAUCGGAAUUACUGGGCGUAAAGAGUGCGCAGGCGGCUCUCUAAGACAGGUGUGAAAUCCCCGGGCUUAACCUGGGAAUGGCGCUUGUGACUGGAGAGCUAGAGUGUGGCAGAGGGGAAUGGAAUUCCUGGUGUAGCAGUGAAAUGCGUAGAUAUCAGGAGGAACACCGAUGGCGAAGGCAGUUCCCUGGGCCAACACUGACGCUCAUGCACGAAAGCGUGGGGAGCAAACAGGAUUAGAUACCCUGGUAGUCCACGCCCUAAACGAUGUCAACUAGUUGUUGGGGAAGGAGACUUCUUUAGUAACGUAGCUAACGCGUGAAGUUGACCGCCUGGGGAGUACGGCCGCAAGGUUAAA
rnacentral:rRNA from 1 species